rfam:Pristionchus pacificus strain PS312 contig3922, whole genome shotgun sequence.
CCUUGUUUGUACUAGGCUAAGGAAUUACGUCAUAUUGAAGCGUUAAUUCCUCUAGUCCCGUGCAAUCCAGGC